GUCAAAAGAAUGACUCUGAACUCGCAGUAGGGGUAUUUAUAGGUGAGGAGCGCAGCAGAAAACAGGCCCAGGCCCAACGGACCACCGCCCGACAGUUUAAGUGUGCCGCCCGGUGGUUUCCCAUUAUCCUGCAAACCGCCCGGCAGCAAUCGCCAGCGCUUGGCGGUUUCCCUCAGCACCACCCAACGCCAACGCUCGUGCCUACUCCUCACCCUGGACCGCCCAGCGGUGUAAUUAGUCGCCGGGCGGUACGUCGACUCUUCAAAUCUUCAAUUUUCUUCUCUUUUCUUAAGUCUACGACCUUUAUCUUCAGCUCCAUUCUUCAUUUCCUCAAAAUAGCUACAAAACAAAGGAAAACAAGCAUAAUAUCGCUAAAAACAACUUUCGACUCUCUACAAACUCAUUUAUUGAGUUUUUCUUGAUUCUGAGCUCAUUCCAACUAGUAAAGGGUGUAAUUAGGUCUAAAA
rnacentral:lncRNA from 1 species